AUUGAACGCUGGCGGCAUGCCUUACACAUGCAAGUCGAACGGUAACGGGUCCUUCGGGAUGCCGACGAGUGGCGAACGGGUGAGUAAUAUAUCGGAACGUGCCCAGUAGUGGGGGAUAACUGCUCGAAAGAGCAGCUAAUACCGCAUACGACCUGAGGGUGAAAGGGGGGGAUCGCAAGACCUCUCGCUAUUGGAGCGGCCGGUAUCAGACUAGCUAGUUGGUGGGGUAAAGGCCUGCCAAGGCAACGAUCUGUAGUUGGUCUGAGAGGACGGCCAGCCACACUGGGACUGAUACACGGCACAGACUCCUACGGGAGGCAGCAGUGGGGAAUUUUGGACAAUAGGCGCAAGCCUGAUCCAGCAAUGCCGCGUGCAGGAAGAAGGCCUUCGGGUUGUAAACUGCUUUUGUCAGGGAAGAAAUCUUCUGGGCUAAUACCCCGGGAGGAUGACGGUACCUGAAGAAUAAGCACCGGCUAACUACGUGCCAGCAGCCGCAGUAA
rnacentral:rRNA from 1 species